rnacentral:rRNA from 1 species
AAAAAAAAAAUAAACUUGUACAACUUUCAACAACGGAUCUCUUGGCUCUCGCAUCGAUGAAGAACGCAGCGAAAUGCGAUAAGUAAUGUGAAUUGCAGAAUUCAGUGAAUCAUCGAAUCUUUGAACGCACCUUGCGCCUCUUGGUAUUCCGAGGGGCACGCCUGUUUGAGUAUCGUGAAAUCAUCAACCCGACUCCUUUUGUGAAAAGGGGAGGAGGGCUUGGACUUUGGAGGUCUUGCCGGUCCGUUCGUCGUGAUCGGCUCCUCUCGAAUGCAUUAGUGGGGCUUCAUCCACUCUCUCUGCCUCUCGGUGUGAUAAUUCAUCUGCGCCGACGUGUGAGGGAGGAAAA